GCCUGGCUGGCUCAGCUGGUAGAGCAUCUGACUGUUGAUUUCAGGGUCAUGGGUUCAAGCCCCACAUUGGGCA